GGUUGGUGGGCGUUAGGGGCACGACAGUCGAGCGGAAGAGUUAUCUGAACCUUCGGGGAACGAUAACGGCGUCGAGCGGCGGACGGGUGAGUAAUGCCUGGGAAAUUGCCCUGAUGUGGGGGAUAACCAUUGGAAACGAUGGCUAAUACCGCAUAAUAGCUUCGGCUCAAAGAGGGGGACCUUCGGGCCUCUCGCGUCAGGAUAUGCCCAGGUGGGAUUAGCUAGUUGGUGAGGUAAUGGCUCACCAAGGCGACGAUCCCUAGCUGGUCUGAGAGGAUGAUCAGCCACACUGGAACUGAGACACGGUCCAGACUCCUACGGGAGGCAGCAGUGGGGAAUAUUGCACAAUGGGCGCAAGCCUGAUGCAGCCAUGCCGCGUGUAUGAAGAAGGCCUUCGGGUUGUAAAGUACUUUCAGCAGUGAGGAAGGUGGAUGUGUUAAUAGCACUAUCAUUUGACGUUAGCUGCAGAAGACGCACCGGCUAACUCCGUGCCAGCAGCCGCGGUAAUACGGAGGGUGCGAGCGUUAAUCGGAAUUACUGGGCGUAAAGCGCAUGCAGGUGGUUUGUUAUGUCAGAUGUGAAAGCCCGGGCUCAACCCUCGAAUUGCAUUUGAAACUGGCAGACUAGAGUACUGUAGAGGGGGGUAGAAUUUCAGGUGUAGCGGUGAAAUGCGUAGAGAUCUGAAGAAUACCGGUGACGAAGGCGGCCCCCUGAACAGAUACUGACACUCAGAUGCGAAAGCGUGGGGAGCAAACAGGUAUUAGAUACCCUGCUAGUCCACCGCGUAAACGAUGUCUACUUGGAGGUUGUGGCCCUUGACCGUGCUUCGGAGCUACGCGUAAGUAAGACCGCUGGGGAGUACGGUCGCAGAUUAACUCAUAUGUAUUGACGGCGCCCCGACACUGGUGCACAUGUUGUUUUAUUUCGAUGCACGCGAAAGAACCUUACCCUACCUCUGGACAUCGAAGAAGAUAACUGGGAUAUGAUCUGGGCAUCCGGGACUUGAGGACAGUGGCUGCAUGCCUGUCCUCACGCUCUGGAUGUGUAAAUGACGCUUAGGUCCCGCAACAGAGCGCACCUUAUCCUGGUUGGCCUAGCGACAUUGCGAAUUCUAGGAACUUGCCGGUAGAUAAACCCUG
rnacentral:rRNA from 1 species